AUUGAACGCUGGCGGCAUGCCUUACACAUGCAAGUCGAACGGUAACGGGCCUUCGGGUGCCGACGAGUGGCGAACGGGUGAGUAAUGCAUCGGAACGUACCUUUCAGUGGGGGAUAACGUAGCGAAAGUUACGCUAAUACCGCAUAUUCUGUGAGCAGGAAAGCAGGGGAUCGCAAGACCUUGUGCUGAUUGAGCGGCCGAUGUCAGAUUAGCUAGUUGGUGAGGUAAAGGCUCACCAAGGCGACGAUCUGUAGCGGGUCUGAGAGGAUGAUCCGCCAACCUGGAACUGAGACGCGGUCCAGACUCCUACGGGAGGCAGCAGUGGGGAAUUUUGGACAAUGGGGGCAACCCUGAUCCAGCCAUGCCGCGUGAGUGAAGAAGGCCUUCGGGUUGUAAAGCUCUUUCGGCCGGGAAGAAAUCGCACGGGCUAAUACCCUGUGUGGAUGACGGUACCGGAAUAAGAAGCACCGGCUAACUACGUGCCAGCAGCCGCCGUAAUAC
rnacentral:rRNA from 1 species